AUGGGUGAAGCAAAUGGUGAAAAAAAGGUGCAUUGGAUAGCCUGGAAGAAAAUGUGCAUGAGCAAACAGGAUGGCGGAAUGGGCUUCCGGGACAUGGAGGCUUUCAAUCAAGCGUUGCUUGCAAAGCAAGCUUGGAGGAUUCUGCAAGACUCGUCCUUCCUCUGUGCUAGGGUUCUCAAGUCCAAGUACUUCACAAAUGGAUCAAUACUUAAUGCAACUUGCCCGAGUAGUGGGUCAUAUACCAUUAGUGCAGAACCGGGCAAUAGCACCGGUUCGUAA
rnacentral:rRNA from 1 species